UACGUAGGGCGCAAGCGUUGUCCGGAAUUAUUGGGCGUAAAGAGCUCGUAGGCGGCUUGUCACGUCGGAUGUGAAAGCCCGAGGCUUAACCUCGGGUCUGCGGUGGGUACGGGCAGACUAGAGUGAUGUAGGGGAGACUGGAAUUCCUGGUGUAGCGGUGAAAUGCGCAGAUAUCAGGAGGAACACCGGUGGCGAAGGCGGUUCUCUGGGCAUUACCUGACGCUGAGGAGCGAAAGUGUGGGGAGCGAACAGG
rnacentral:rRNA from 1 species